rnacentral:lncRNA from 1 species
CAGCAUAAACCCGUAUAGGGAGAUUCAAAUACGGGGAAUGACUAGUUGCUUAAGCGUUCACGUUAGGGUCACACAAUCAAUUACCUCCUGAAUGUAUCGUCUCUAUUUCCAAUAUCUGAACACACAAGGAAACUAUAAUCUCUUCCUUCACUUUAUCGAUCUCUUCCUUAUAGCAAUUCAGUCAUACUAAUAACUGCUAUUUCCACCAAUAUAUUC